GGUGUAGUAGGAACAACCUGAACUUGGGAAUCAGAAAUGUCUGGGUUUGAAUCCCAGCUCCACCA
rnacentral:tRNA from 1 species